AGUGAACGCUGGCGGUAGGCCUAACACAUGCAAGUCGAACCGCAGCACAGUAAGAGCUUGCUCUUACGGGUGGCGAGUGGCGGACGGGUGAGGAAUACAUCGAAAUCUACUUUUUCGUGGGGGAUAACGUAGGGAAACUUACGCUAAUACCGCAUACGACCUACGGGUGAAAGCAGGGGAUCUUCGGACCUUGCGCGAUUGAAUGAGCCGAUGUCGGAUUAGCUAGUUGGCGGGGUAAAGGCCCACCAAGGCGACGAUCCGUAGCUGGUCUGAGAGGAUGAUCAGCCACACUGGAACUGAGACACGGUCCAGACUCCUACGGGAGGCAGCAGUGGGGAAUAUUGGACAAUGGGCGCAAGCCUGAUCCAGCCAUACCGCGUGGGUGAAGAAGGCCUUCGGGUUGUAAAGCCCUUUUGUUGGGAAAGAAAAGCAGCAGGUUAAUACCCCGCUGUUCUGACGGUACCCAAAGAAUAAGCACCGGCUAACUUCGUG
rnacentral:rRNA from 1 species